rnacentral:rRNA from 1 species
UUGGAGGGCAAGUCUGGUGCCAGCAGCCGCGGUAAUUCCAGCUCCAAUAGCGUAUAUUAAAGUUGUUGCAGUUAAAAAGCUCGUAGUUGAAUUUCGGGGUUCUACCGUCGGUCGGGCUAACAAGUCUGUACUGGUGUGUAGAAUUUCUACCUUCUGGGGAACUAUCAUGUUAUUAAUUUAGCGUGGUGGGAAACCAGGACCUUUACCUUGAAAAAAUUAGAGUGUUCAAAGCAGGCUUACGUCUGAAUACAUUAGCAUGGAAUAAUAGAAUAGGACGGUGGUCCUGUUUUGUUGGUUUCUGAAUCACCGUAAUGAUUAAUAGGGAUAGUUGGGGGCAUUAGUAUUCAAUUGUCAGAGGUGAAAUUCUUGGAUUUAUUGAAGACUAACUUCUGCGAAAGCAUUCGCCAAGGAUGUUUUCAUUAAUCAAGAACGAAAGUUAGGGGAUCGAAGACGAUCAGAUACCGUCGUAGUCUUAACCAUAAACUAUGCCGACUAGGGAUCGGACGAUGUUAACCUUUAUUGACUCGUUCGGCGCCUUACGGGAAAC